CAGCAGCCGCGGUAAAACGUAGGUCCCGAGCGUUGUCCGGAUUUAUUGGGCGUAAAGCGCGUCUAGGUGGUUAUGUAAGUCUGAUGUGAAAAUGCAGGGCUCAACUCUGUAUUGCGUUGGAAACUGUGUAACUAGAGUACUGGAGAGGUAAGCGGAACUACAAGUGUAGAGGUGAAAUUCGUAGAUAUUUGUAGGAAUGCCGAUGGGGAAGCCAGCUUACUGGACAGAUACUGACGCUAAAGCGCGAAAGCGUGGGUAGCAAACAGGAUUAGAUACCCCCGUAGUCCCUGUCUCUUAUACC
rnacentral:rRNA from 1 species